AUACAGUUUUUGACCGCUUCUGAUGAUUAUUGUUGUUUUCUUUGAGUGGCAAAAAAGCAACGAAAUGAGCCGAAAUGAUCUGCCUGUCACGUCAUGUUGCGGUGACUGCAGCACCUGGAUUAUAUUGGAGUUGGCUAUUGGGGCCGGCAACGAAAUGAGCCGAAAUGAUCUGCCUGUCACGUCAUGUUGCGAUCUCAAGCGAGUCUAACUUGGAUGCUUCUGAACCAAGAGCCAAACGCAUC